AUGCGCUCCAAUCCCGCCACGCCUGCGAAUCCCAGCGGGAGCAGAAAGCGUGGGCAUUACAAUUCCGCCAACAAGUCCCGCCGGAAGGGAGACACGGCGUACAGGUGCUCGCCUCACCUCAUCCCACCGAUGAUGAAGCUUCUCAGCGACGAGCAGAGAGGCUUUGUGAGAAAGAUUGGGUUUGGGAGCCUGCUGUCCAUGGCAGACUUCGAGAUGGACAGGGCCCUCACCCUGUGGCUGAUCGACAGGUUCAGCUGCGACACCGAGGCGCUCGAGUUCGAAGGCGACGUGUCGGUUCCGGUAAGGCCGCUCGUGGCGUCCGUCCUCGGGAUCCCUUCGGGCCCCAUCCAGGUCGUGGCGGGCCUCCACGUCGGCGACGCUCUCCGCACUCGGCACCGCUGUCUUAAAGGGAAGAACGCCGAGAAACUGGCCGAAGAAAUGCGCGGCAUGACCGAGGAGGAACCCUUCUGUAUGGCCUUCAUGAUGGUGAUACUUGCGAUCUAUCUCGCGCCGAACACGACCAAGCUUGUCAACCGGUACUUGUUUGGAGCCGCUCAACAGGUCGGCAGCCUCAAGCAGAUGGACUGGUGCGGCUUCGUUGCUGACUAUCUCUUCAGAGGAAUCAGGAAGUUCAAGGAAUCGGAAGCACCCUUUGUUUUUGUAAAGGGCUGUGUGCACAUCCUGAACGUCAUUUACGUUGAUCUUGUGAAACACGCUGCAUUUGAAGUGCCAAACGGCUUUCCACGCUUGGGCGUUGUCACCACAGAGCAUAACAAAUGGGUAGCUUCACAUCCCUUUGGUAGCUUGCUGGUGCGUCGUAUAGAAGAGUCUGUCUAUGCUCCCGUGCUCAAUAACAUGGGAAAUGGUAGCAUUGUUGAAGGCGGAACAUGUGCUGAUUCUGAUACAAAUACUGACGCUCUGGCCAAUCAGUUUGCUAUCACUGUCACCCAUCAAAAUAACCCGCAUCCGAUUUCAGCAUACCCUGGCCCUGCCAGAACAACCCCUGAUGUAACAAGCUUGGCCGGUGUUGAACAUGUAGCUUUAGAGACAUCAGCUCGAUCUGCAGGUUUUCCAAGAAGCCGCGAGCAAUUGCAGUCUGCUGGGCCUUCUUCACCGUGUUCUGCACAAAUUGCGGAGAAGACGCAGCUUGCGCCAGAAGCCACUUUGGGAAGGAACAGGGGUUCGCCGAAGGACGAUCGGACGCCCGAGAGGGCGAGGGUGGAGCUGCCCAACAGUGGGCAAGUAAAGCGAGCCGGAGAAGGCACCAUAAGGAUGGACAUGAGUUUGCUUAGUUGUCGCGUCUGCUACCACCCCGUCAAGCCCCCUGUCUUCCAGUGCAAUGUCGGGCAUUUAGCUUGCGGCACAUGCCUCGCGGAGCUCCCCGGCGAACAGUGCCCGAUCUGCGAGCAUGGCGGUGGCUUUAGCCGCUGUCCAGUGAUGGACGACGUCGUCUUGUCGAGCGAGAUGAAGUGCUCCUACGACGGCUGCCAGAGCUACGUCCCCUACCACGAGCUCGACGGCCACCAGAGAGUGUGCCCACACGCGCCCUGCUUCUGCAUGGAGCCCGGUUGCGGCUUCUGCGGCCCUCCACCGGCGCUCCUUGGCCACCUCAGUGCGGUGCACUCGGUGCCAGUGCAGAAGGUCCAGUACGGCAAUGUUCACCGGCUCCGGUUGUCGGAGGCGCAGUGCCUGCUCCAUGCGGAAGAGGACGACAGCGUGUUCCUCCUGGCCGUGGGCGCGCUCGGCAUGGCCACCGUCGUGUCUGCGGUGUGCAUCUGUGCGGGAGCGUCACUGGAGCCACGACACGCGGUCAAGCUCCGGGCGAACGGUCCGCCGCCACCGAGCAGCGCGGCGGGCAGCAUUCUGUUGGACACGAAGGCGGUGACGAACAGCAACAGACCCGGCGAGGUGGCCGUGGAGGAGCUGCCGUCUUUCUUGAUGGUGCCGCCUGCAUAUCUGGCUGGAUCUGGCGCGUCCGAGGUGUCCCUCGACGUUCGCAUUGACAGGGUGUGA
rnacentral:rRNA from 1 species